rnacentral:tRNA from 1 species
GCGGGAGUAGUUCAAUUUUAGAACACAUUCCUUCCCGGAAUGAGAGUAUAGGUGCAAGUCCUAUCUUCCGCUCCA